rnacentral:lncRNA from 1 species
GUAAAUUCAGUAAAAAAUCUCCCAUUGACUUUAAUGCUAAUCUAUGUAUGGAAUUAAAUUUAUACCUGAUUUACCUUUAGAAAUUGGAAACUUUCAUAUAACAUUCAUGAAAGUAAAAAUGUAGCCCUAUCUUUUGCACUAAUAAAAACAUAGGGUCAUGCGGCAUUUUUGGGCAUUCACAUGGCCUUGUUUACAAACAAUGUAGAUUCGCACUGAAUUCCUAUACUGACCCCCAUUACUUUUCAACCCUGUAGUAAAAAAAAAUUAGUACAUUCAGCAUUUAUUUUUUUAUUUUUUUUCAACUCUAGUUUUGAUCCAUCUGCCAAAAAAUAUUUAUUACAAACAUUAUCUACCAAUCAGAAGAGCAUAUGACUUCAGUGUUAUACAGAAAGCUCUCCCCUAAAUGGGCGGUCCCUGAUGACGUAUAUUUAUUUACUGAAUUUACCCCUAA